rnacentral:rRNA from 1 species
GUAGUCUCGCACAGAUGCAUAUCAAUAAGCGGAGGAAAAGAAACUAACAAGGAUUCCCUCAGUAACGGCGAGUGAAGCGGGAAGAGCUCAAAUUUGAAAUCUUGAAAGGUCACCUUUCACGAAUUGUAGUUUAAAGAAGUGUUUUCUGUUACGAUCGUAAUAUAAGUUCUUUGGAAUAGGACAUCACAGAGGGUGAGAAUCCCGUCUAUGAUUGCGAUUUGUAGCUUUGUGAUACACUUUCAAAGAGUCGGGUUGUUUGGGAAUGCAGCCCAAAACGGGAGGUAAAUUUCUUCUAAGGCUAAAUAUUGGCGAGAGACCGAUAGCGAACAAGUACCGUGAGGGAAAGAUGAAAAGAACUUUGAAAAGAGAGUUAAAUAGUACGUGAAAUUGUCAAAAGGGAAGCGUUUAACACCAGUGUUGUUUUCUGAAAAUCAACCUCUGUUAGCUUUAUGCAUGUUUGUUUAGACCUAAUCAGCUAUCUUGCAUGUUCUAUUGUUUGCAGUGGUGCACUCUUCAGUUUACAGGUCAACAUCAGUUUUUUUUACCGUAAAAAAGUUAAAGAAAGGUAGCUCAUGGCUCCGGUCGUGAGUGUUAUAGUCUUUUUCCUAUGCGGUAGGAGAGACUGAGGUCUGCAGUGUAGGCUAUUUGGCUAGAUACUCAGGUGCUAUGUGAUACCAUUUCAUAAACAACUUGUUGAUUAUGUUUUGUCUAUUGCAUACUCGCUUGUACUAUCAUACCUACGCUUAGGAUGUUGAAGAUGUAGCACAUCAU